rnacentral:rRNA from 1 species
UGCCAGACUCCUACGGGAGGCAGCAGUGAGGAAUAUUGGUCAAUGGUCGGGAGACUGAACCAGCCAAGCCGCGUGAGGGAGGAAGGUACAGAGUAUCGUAAACCUCUUUUGUCAGGGAACAAAGGCGGGGACGUGUCCCCGGAUGAGUGUACCUGAAGAAAAAGCAUCGGCUAACUCCGUGCCAGCAGCCGCGGUAAUACGGAGGGUGCGAGCGUUAAUCGGAAUUACUGGGCGUAAAGCGCACGUAGGCUGUAUGACAAGUCAAGGGUGAAAUGCCACGGCUCAACCGUGGAACUGCCUUUGAAACUGUCAAACUGGAGUAUGUGAGAGGGCGGCGGAAUUCCUGGUGUAGGAGUGAAAUCCGUAGAUAUCAGGAGGAACAUCAGUGGCGAAGGCGGCCGCCUGGCACAAAACUGACGCUGAGGUGCGAAAGCGUGGGUAGCAAACAGGAUUAGAUACCCCAGUAGUC